rnacentral:rRNA from 1 species
GAUGAACGCUGGCGGCGUGCCUAAUACAUGCAAGUCGAGCGAACAGACGAGGAGCUUGCUCCUCUGACGUUAGCGGCGGACGGGUGAGUAACACGUGGAUAACCUACCUAUAAGACUGGGAUAACUUCGGGAAACCGGAGCUAAUCCCGGAUAAUAUAUUGAACCGCAUGGUUCAAUAGUGAAAGUCGGUUUUGCUGUCUCUUCUAGAUGGAUCCGCGCCGCAUUAGCUAGUUGGUAAGGUAACGGCCUACCACGGCAACGAUGCGUAGCCGACCUGAGAGAGGGAUAGGCCGCACGGGAGGUGGAACACGGUCCAGACUCCUACGGGAGGCAGCAGUAGGGAAUGUUCCGCAAUAGGCGGAAGCAUGACGGAGCAGCGCCGCGUGAGUGAUGAAGGUCUUCGGAUCGUGAAACUCGGUUAUGAGGGAAGAACAGAUGUGUAAGUAACUGUGCACGUCUUGACGGUACCGAGUCAGAAAGCCACGGCUAACUACGUG